UUAUUGGUGCCUAUCUCUUUGUAGGUGAAUGGUGUUGCUCAGUUACACAGUGAUAUAUUAAAGUCAGAAUUAUUUGCAAAUUAUGUUUCGAUAUGGCCAACAAAGUUCCAAAAUAAAACCAAUGGGAUUACACCUCGAAGAUGGAUCCAAUUUUGUAAUCCUGAGCUAAGUGGGAUAAUCACCAAAUGGUUAAAAACUGAUAAAUGGGUAACCAAUCUUGACUUGUUAACAGGUCUUCGACAGUUUGCUGACAAUGAAGAUCUGCAAGCAGAAUGGCUGUCUGCAAAGAUGGCUAGCAAACAGCGUUUGGCACGGUAUGUUUUGCAGGUGACAGGGGAGAGCAUUGACCCAGAUAGUCUGUUUGACAUUCAAGUCAAGCGUAUCCAUGAAUACAAGAGGCAGCUACUAAACAUUCUUGGUGUGAUUUAUAGAUACAAGAAGCUAAAGGAGAUGAGCCCUGAAGAACGUAAAAUAAGUACUCCACGCACUGUGAUGAUUGGAUC